rnacentral:rRNA from 1 species
UACGUAGGUGGCAAGCGUUGUCCGGAUUUAUUGGGCGUAAAGCGAGCGCAGGCGGUUCCUUAAGUCUGAUGUGAAAGCCCACGGCUCAACCGUGGAAGGUCAUUGGAAACUGGGGAACUUGAGUGCAGAAGAGGAGAGUGGAAUUCCAUGUGUAGCGGUGAAAUGCGUAGAUAUAUGGAGGAACACCAGUGGCGAAGGCGACUCUCUGGUCUGUUAUUGACGCUGAGGCUCGAAAGCGUGGGGAGCAAACAGGAUUAGA